GACAGAGGGGGCAAGCGUUGCUCGGAAUUACUGGGCGUAAAGGGCGCGUAGGCGGGAUGGCAAGUCGGUCGUGAAAUCCCUCGGCUCAACCGAGGAACGUCGAUCGAUACUGUUGUUCUUGAGGAUUGCAGAGGAGACUGGAAUUCCCGGUGUAGCGGUGAAAUGUGUAGAGAUCGGGAGGAACACCGGUGGCGAAGGCGGGUCUCUGGGCAAUUCCUGACGCUGAGGCGCGAAAGCGUGGGGAGCAAACGGG
rnacentral:rRNA from 1 species